rnacentral:siRNA from 1 species
AGUGUUUCUAUGGUCAAAAUGUU